CAUUUUUUUGUCUCCUACUGCUCUGUGUGCAGGUAAUUAUUUCUUUAUUAUACAAUGUGCAUAAAGUUUCUUUGCAGUAUUCUGUGCAUUUUCUGUGGUUAAGUAAAUGUUGGGUGCUAUUAGUUUUUUUUUGUGUGAAAACACUCAAGAAAUGUCAUGUUAAUUCUCAUGCAUACAGAGUUCUAUAAAAUAGAUGAUGUAAGCGGUGUAGUUUAUGUAGCAUGCUUUACUUUAUAUUCAGACUUUCUAUUAUUUUAUUCCUGCAUGAUUUAAAAUGUCCUAUAUGAUCACAAAGCAAUAUUGAGAAAAGAGACUAUGUUGAAUUGGUUAAACAAGACUGUUCAUGGUUGUCAUGAAGAAAUUCACAUUUCAGAUUAUUGUUUUAUUUUUAUUCAUUUUGUUUAUAUCAUCAUACUGUAUACGGUUAUGUUAAGAGCAGAGCUAUGAAGAACUGCUGUGGGUGGAGUUGUAACAUUUUUGAGCUUGCCGUUUUGUCUCCUGCUCUGUGUGCAGGAACCAAAUAAAGUGCAACAUCAUCCAAGUCCUGAGUGUGUGUGCUGAUGAAGGCUUUAAAAACAGGAAGUCUGGUCAUCUGCUCAAGAAAAAAACGGAACUCAAAGGAGGCAGAGCUGGGUGGAAGUUGAGCUUCCGGAUCGCCUGAUGGAUGAAGCUGUCCUCUUAUGCAAAAAUAGAUGUCAUUACGCAAUGAAUAUGUUGUCAUGAUAAUAAUCAUAAUGAAAUGAACGUGUUUUUAUAAAAUAAAAGUUUUAAUAUGAAAAAUGGCCAUUCUGAUGUAGUCCUGAAUAUGCAAUGAAUGUGCUGUUAAAAAUGAACAUCGAAAUGAGCGUGUCAAAGUAAAAUUACCAUUAAAAAAGUCAUUGUAAAACAAAUAUCAUAAAAAAACCUUAUAAUGAAAUAAAUGUGCAAUCCUGAAGCAAAUGUCAUAGAAAAAAUGUUAU